GGAAGGCUGGCUUGGACGGCACUCUUGUUAACCCGGUCAGGUCGGGAACGAAGCAGCCGCAUGCGAGUCCUUGUCGGGUCAGGUUCAGUCUUCCACC
rnacentral:SRP_RNA from 1 species